rnacentral:rRNA from 1 species
ACGAACCGUGCGAACGUUGUUCGGAUUCACUGGGCUUAAAGGGCGCGUAGGCGGGUGAUCAAGUCAGGGGUGAAAUCUUUCGGCUCAACCGGAAAAGUGCCUUUGAUACUGGUCAUCUCGAGGGAGGUAGGGGCAUGUGGAACUUCCGGUGGAGCGGUGAAAUGCGUAGAUAUCGGAAGGAACGCCGGUGGCGAAAGCGACGUGCUGGACCUUUUCUGACGCUGAGGCGCGAAAGCCAGGGGAGCAAACGGG